AGAGUUUGAUCCUGGCUCAGAUUGAACGCUGGCGGCAUGCUUUACACAUGCAAGUCGAACGGCAGCACGGGAGCUUGCUCCUGGUGGCGAGUGGCGAACGGGUGAGUAAUGCAUCGGAACGUAUCCAAUAAUGGGGGAUAACGCAGCGAAAGCUGUGCUAAUACCGCAUACGCCCUGAGGGGGAAAGUGGGGGACCGCAAGGCCUCACGUUAAUGGAGCGGCCGAUGUCAGAUUAGCUAGUUGGUGAGGUAAGGGCUCACCAAGGCGACGAUCUGUAGCUGGUCUGAGAGGAUGAUCAGCCACACUGGAACUGAGACACGGUCCAGACUCCUACGGGAGGCAGCAGUGGGGAAUUUUGGACAAUGGGGGCAACCCUGAUCCAGCCAUGCCGCGUGAGUGAAGAAGGCCUUC
rnacentral:rRNA from 1 species